AGCAAUCAUGUCACAUAAAGUCUUUUAGGUUAAAUUGAUUAUCCAGUAAAGUUGUAUUUAAGUCGGUAUAGAUGGAUUAAAGCGGCACUUGGUGCGCAGGAGGCGAGCGGGGCUGAGGCGGAGGCGGAGGAGGCGCGAGCGGAGAGGAAGCGCCGACAAAGACAGGCGCAGGAGGAGUUCCGACUAAAGCAGCUGCUCAAACAGAAAACGGGACCGGAUGAAGUGCUGUCCAAAGACAAUAGCAGUGUAGACAACUUGCUGAUGGGGAUCGCUACACAGGAUAUAGUGGUGGAUGCUUCUGGUGCUGAGGGCAAGAGGAAGUCUCCCGCUCGCAACCUACCUGAAGCGCCCAAUAAGAGAAGGAAUAGCUUUAUCAACAAACUGGAUAUAUUGUAACCAGAGUGUAAAAUCCGACUCGAAGGACCAUGUUGUUAAAUCAUUAUCAAUUCAAGAGCAGAUAUUUUGCAGUGAAGCAUAUUUUUAUACAUUUAACCAUCAAAAGGCAAUAGUGUAAGGAUGUAUAAAUAAAAGAAACAUUGUCAAUGAACUCAAAUUUUAAUCUCUAACUAAUUAAGAUUCUUACACACGAAUAUAUACAAAAAAAACCUCGCGAACACGAAAAUAGUCCGAUUGUACUCAGGUAAAUUAAGAACGAAAAAAGAACACCUUUUUAGGACGAACGAUAAAACAAAACUUAUCCAUAGAUAUCUUAACUAAGUUAAACUAAUAUAAGGGCCAGUCCCAUCAAAAUUACAAUUAAACCUACACAAAGCGGCCAUUUUGUUGGCAAAAUGGCGGACGUUGAUAGUUCAAAUUAAACGAAUAAAUCGUAAAAAGACAAGUUAGGUUGGCACGCGAUUACUUAUACAAAUAAGCUUUCAAGCCUUCCGAAUCAGGGGUGAACUGAGAUAUAAAUUCAUAUCUCUAGUUCUAUUUUGUUAUUAGUACAAAUAAGUGGGUAAAUCGAAAACUUAUAUAAACCAAGCUUUCUUAUAAGCCUGUCAUUUCAAUGCAUGUUAAAAAACUCAACACGUUUAUUGCUCGCCUUGUCUAAAAAGUUUACGAAAAAUUAUAUUUGCAUAAACUUGUUAAAAAUUGUUCUUGUCACAGUAUCGGUUAAGCACUUCUCUAGAUUAAAAAAUUAAAGCCGUCUCUAUGGUCUUACAUAUUGUUAGAAAAGAUAUAUGUAUGCUGGCCAACACAUAUUUUACAUAUAAAACUUCUAAUUGUGACAUACAUUGCACUACUUUAUAUGAUUUUAUAAUAAUAAAAAAAUAUACCGCGUAACAUAUGUAAUGAUUAAAAUUAAUGUUACCAAUAUGGGUUAGAAAACACAGAUAACUUAUACUUUACGUAAACAAAAUCAUAUAUUUUCUAGUUUGUUAUGUGUAUCAAAUUUGUAUUGUGAAAAAAUCUAUUUAAUAUUUACAAUUGAUAAUUUUCAUCGAUUCUAAUAACUUUAGUAUAAAAUAUUAAGAGAAUACAAUCGAACCUGGAUCAGUGAAACUCUGAUUUGAGAGAAGCCACUAUCAGCGAGACGGUCUAAUUUUUGAGAAAUCUUUCGAAGCGAGGAACUCAAAUUUUUGAGAAAUCUCUAUAAGCGAAAACUCAAUUUUUUGAGAAACUUCUAUAAACGAGAAACUAAUUUGUGAGAAAUCUCUACCGAAAAACUCAAAUUUUUGAGAGAUCUCUAUAAGCGAGAAACUAAUUUUUGAGAAACCUCUAUAAACGAGAAACUAUUUUGUGAGAAAUCUCUACCGAGAAACUCAAAUUUUUGAGAAAUCUCUAUAAGCGAGAAACUCAAAUUUUUGAGAAAUCUUUAUAAGUCUAAUUUAUGAGAAGCCUCUAUUAGCAAGUAAUAUGUCGAUCUCGCAGACUCGCUUCCGCAGGUUGGACUGUAUACCCAUUUACUUAAAGCGAUAUUACAUAGGAUAAUUGGACAUACAUGACUCAUAUUUCUACGUCUAUCAGUGAAAUUACAACCUUCUAAAACAUUACAAAUAUAUAAAGCAGAAUUUAUAUAUUUCGAAAAUAUAUUUUUACUAUAUCCACUACAUACUACUGAUAACAUAUAUACAUAUGGUUAUAUUGAUAAAAGCUACAUAUAUUAAUUAAUAUAGUAUAUAAAUUGAAUGAAUUUUAUCAUAAAUUCAUGAUGAAACUUCCUCUAAGAAUAGUUUAUUUCGACAUCAAAACCUCAAAUUAAAUUUUUACAUAAAAAAUAUUUUUGUAUAUCAACUGAAAAGACUUAUUUAAUCUACAAUUAAUCAUUAUAUAAAAACUUUUUGUAGAUAUCUUAUACUAAAGAUAUUAUAUGUUUUAAUAUACUCUGUUCAAUAUAUGUACUACAAUAUGGUAUUUAUUUUAACCCUUAAAAGCCUGAUUCGUGUGAAGUAUACCUUUUACUGUGUUUUUACUGAGGAAAAAUAGUAAAAAAAUCAAAACGAAGUUUUUAUAUAUUUUCGUUAUUUAUAGAUUAUCAAUCAGAAGUAACAUGAAAAUUAAAAUAAAACCGAUUGUAGGUGCCCAAAGCAAUUUAUAACCCCAACAUCAAAUUUUAAACUUCAGGCAUUUAAGAGUUAAAUAAUUAUAUGUAUCUUUCUAAUU